CUUAAACAUUGAAAGAAACAAGAAUAUAUUUACGAACGGGAUCAUCCAUGAUCUUUUUAAAUCGUUGUUUUAUCGUUUCGUUCGUUUUUGGACGAAUUAGAAUAUAAAUAGCAGUGAUGCGUGGACAUACGCGCAUUAGUUUUUCCAGAAGACCUAUUCCCACGAAACCAGUUGCUCCAGUCACAAGAAUCCCACUACCGGCGUAGAAUUCCUCCAAAGUAUUCAUCUUAUUCAACCCUUUAUUGAUCGCAUUUUCAUUCCUUUGUUUAUUUAUUGUAUCCAUGUUUCAGGAUCUUCUCACUUUCAGUCCCAAUAUUUGCCACUGAAUUAUCAAAUAGUAAGGGUUAAAAUAGUGUACAAAAUUUGUUAUAGUUGAGAUUUUAAGCUUAAACAAUCUUUUUGUAGUUUCCUUUAGCUUCUGUAUUGUUUGUUUUAUUUGUAUUUGUGUGAAUAUAGCAGUAUGCAGUGAUCGUUAAUUUGUGUGGAACAUUUGCGUGAUUCGUGCGAGAUAGUGUUCCCUCACAUGUAGUAGCACCUGGAAAAUACGUAUGUGAUUUUUAUGCGUGCACGCGUGGAAGGGACUAUAAAAUCUGGACGAACAUUGUUUAUAUGUGCUCUUGUUUAUUAAUUAUUUAUGGAGGUAAGUGGACUCAUAUUUCCGAUAUACCGUUACAGAUUUCAUUGAGUAAACAGGUUUAAUCUAUAAUCAAUGAUUUUUCUUAG
rnacentral:misc_RNA from 1 species